GCCGGUCAUUGGAAUGGGUACAAUUUAAACCCUUUAACGAGUAUCUAUGAGAGGGCAAGUCUGGUGCCAGCAGCCGCGGUAAUUCCAGCUCUCAAAAUGCAUAGAAUCAUUGCUGCGGUUAAAAAGCUCGUAGUUGGAUCUGUGCUGGCGGGUCGGUCCACCUUCGGGUGCGCACUGAUUUCGCCGGCUUUCCUGCUGUAUUUGGCCCUGUGCCUUUCAACGGGUGCAGUGUCCAGUGCAGCAAGUUUACCUUGAACAAAUCAGAGUGCUUCAAACAGGCGUUUCGCUUGAAUGUUCGUGCAUGGAAUAAUAGAAGAGGAUUUCGGUUCUAUUUUAUUGGUUUUAUAGACUGAGAUAAUGGUUAACAGAGACUAACGGGGGCAUUAGUAUUGCUACGUGAGAGGUGAAAUUCUUGGGCCGUAGCAAGACUGACUACAGCGAAAGCAUUUGCCAAGAAAGUCUUCAUUAAUCAAGAACGAAAGUCAGAGGUUCGAAGGCGAUCAGAUACCGCCCUAGUUCUGACCGUAAACGAUGCCAACUAGUGAUCCGCCAGUGGAACAUUCGCCCUGGUGGGGAACUUCCCGGAAACGAAAGUCUUCCGGUUCCGGGGGAAGUAUGGUUGCAAAGCUGAAACUUAAAGGAAUUGACGGAAGGGCACCACCAGGAGUGGAGCCUGCGGCUUAAUUUGACCCAACACGGGAAAACUCACCCGGCCCGGACACCGCAAGGAUUGACAGAUUGAUAGCUCUUUCAUGAUUCGGUGGAUGGUGGUGCAUGGCCGUUCUUAGUUCGUGGAGCGAUUUGUCUGGUUUAUUCCGAUAACGAGCGAGACUCUGGCCUACUAAAUAGUUUACACAUUGCUUCUGUGUGCAUAACUUCUUAGAGGGAUUUUCGGUGUUCAGCCGCAAGAAAUUGAGCAAUAACAGGUCUGUGAUGCCCUUAGAUGUCCGGGGCUGCACGCGCGCUACACUGGCAAAAUCAGCGUGCUUGUCCUUCCCCGAAAGGGGUUGGUAAACUCGUGAAAAUUUGCCGUGAUUGGGAUCGGAAAUUGCAAUUAUUUUCCGUGAACGAGGAAUUCCAAGUAAGUGCGAGUCAUCAACUCGCGUUGAUUACGUCCCUGCCCUUUGUACACACCGCCCGUCGCUGCCCGGGACUGAGCCGUUUUGAGAAACUUGGAGACCGCUGAUCUGGUAACUUCGAUUGCCAUUUUGGUGGGAACCAAUUUAA
rnacentral:rRNA from 1 species